UACGUAUGGUGCAAGCGUUAUCCGGAUUUACUGGGUGUAAAGGGAGCGUAGGCGGCGCGUUAAGUCUGAUGUGAAAACCCGAGGCUCCACCACGGGAGUGCAUUGGAAACUGGCGUGCUGGAGUGCCGGAGAGGUAAGCGGAAUUCCUAGUGUAGCGGUGAAAUGCGUAGAUAUUAGGAGGAACACCAGUGGCGAAGGCGGCUUACUGGACGGCAACUGACGCUGAGGCUCGAAAGCGUGGGGAGCAAACAGG
rnacentral:rRNA from 1 species